GUGGAUUAUGGGCUCAUCUCUGCUUUCUGUUGCUGAGCAGCUUUUGAAAGACCUUCAGAGAACUUUCUUGGAGACAAACCAGAGCAAGACUUAAAGCAACACUGUGUAACUUUUGGCGCUCUAGCGGUUCAACGGAACUGGACGCAUCUCGCGGAAGAACAUUCUGACCUGAGCUACUUCUGUCUAUUUUGAUCAAUAGUGAUUCACGCAGUACCAGCUGACCUACUAAUAGCAUUAUGGUUUGUUUUUGGCCAAUGUGCUCUUCAGGUGUUGGACCCGGUGGACCAGCACUCUGUCACGUGUGUCAUCACCUAGCGGUCGAAAGACAUUUCAGUGGGAAUUUGUGGGAAACUUGGAUGCUUUUAAUUCAGUGAGAGCAAACUGAACCUGAGUGGAUCAGAAGCUGUUGUUGUGGUGCCCUCCAAUCCUCCUUUUAACAUGGCCACUUUUGGAGCAUUUCUCAAAACUGAGGUGUUAAGUGGAUCCGGGCGUCUGUACACGUGCUUCACGUCCUGUCACUACUGCCCACACCCUGCCUUCUCGUUCUCUGUGCUCCAGAGAAACGAAAGUCUGAUGGUGAGGUCACUUCCUCUUUCUGUUUCCAUACACACUCACACACAGCUGCACUCACAGAUCCUGAGACCCUGAGACCCUCAUCCUGUUUCUUGGUUUGUAGAAUUAUUUCUGUCAUUAUGCGUUUACACACUGUGGGUCGAAGGUUAGGAAUAAUUCAGUUUUUUCAUGUUCUUGUGCUCUGCAAAGCUGCAUUUAUUUGAUACAGUAAUAUUGUUAAAUAUUAGUACAGUUUAACAUGACUAUUCCACUUUGUAUUGACAUCAAUACGUUUCACUUCAACGUUUGCACAAAUUGAUGCUAAAUAGUUGACAGUAUUACCAAUUAGUUUACCACAUUAUUUUUUUAUAUGCAAACUUGACUAAUUCAUUAUUGAAAACCGUUUUAGUUGCAACACCACUUUUUUUUUGCCUGCUUUUGUUUUAAAUCUCUUGUUUAGCGCUCUUCUUCAUCUGCCGCUUGCUGUGGUUAUUUCUAGCGAUUUUAUUUGUUUUCGGGUCUCAAUUGACUGUCUGUCUUUUGAUGCUGUGGCCCUGUUUCAACAGUGUCUGUAGCAUGUGCAUCAGCCUGGUUUUGAGCCCAGGGGAGCAAAUGAGCCUAAAAUUAGUCCUUAAGUCUGAGAAAGAAAAUCCAGAGACUACCCCAAAAAGCACUGCUUCACUCUGAUAGCAUGACCUCACUUUAUUAUCGAGCUGCAACGAAAUAUAAAUGCGUUUUAUGCCCAUGUGAUCUGAGAGGAAUGGUUUCCUUGUUUAUUUAUAGUCCUCUGUGUAAUGCAUUAGCGUUUGCUUGAUGCGCUAGAAAAUGUCUCAAAUGUGAUUAAGCUGCCUGCUCUCAGCGGCCGUCUCCUCCAGAGAUAAAACACGAGAACAUGACGUGAGAUUCUCAUCGGUUGGUGGUCUCUGUAUCGAGGGUCUGGGGUCCAGUCAACCUGUAGUAGACCAAUAAUUAAUGGAGAAUGUGAAUUAUAAAGCAAAUACAGUCUGUUCUUCAUAGGCUGUUUCAUUGUCAGUCUUCUUGUUUUGUGUGACACUAAUAUUCUCCUUCAUUGUAAUCCUGUUGAUAUUUCCGUUACAUGGUGAAUGCAUGCUGAUGCAUUUUUCAUGUGUGCAGUCACCAUAAAUUGAAAACAGAUGGCUGCAUUGUGCAGUUUUAUCAUAACACAAUAAAUGAUAGUGAGACACAUCUGAUCUUGAGUCUAUACUGUUUGGCUGUCUGUCUGAGUCAGGCAGCAGGUCUCAGAUCAGCAGAUGACUGUUAUUCUCUCAGGGCACAUAAAUAACUGAUCCGGGAGAAGAGAACACUCAUGCAGGAAUUCAGAUAUUUGGAGUCAUUAUGGAUUAGAAUGGACUCUUCUCUUCGGAGUUGUUGUUGCACUUUAAUGAUUUGGGGUUUUUUAAAAUGAGGGAUGAUGUGUCAUAGCAUGUUAAAAAUUGCUUUUAAAAUAACUAAACCAGCAAAGCUUGACCCUCAGUAUGAUGUUUGUGUAUGUUUGUAUAUAUGGUUACAAACUAUUUUAUCAGUUGCCAGAUAAUGUACAUCUGUUCACUGAGCAUGAUGGCGUUUUCUUUUGGAGUUUCAGUUUGUUUGAAGGUUCAGCACCCUAGACUGACUCUCAUCAACAAUCGUGAAACCACAUGAGUGAAAUAUUGUGCUUUUGGAUUUUGUGUUCAUAAAAUAGUUUAGUGUACUAUUUAUUAAACAUUCAAGUAGCUAGAUUUGAUCAUGCUUUCUAAAAAGAAAAGUGAACUUUAUACACACUAAAAGAGGACUGUUGUUUUUAUGCAAGCAGUGAGGUACGAGAAGCCGUGCUGUGCUGUGCUGCUUCACGUCACGUCGUGCCUAACAACUCCCUUCAGCUGUGAUUCACAAUACAGCAACUCUUCUAGCUUAUUGCUUAAAAAAAACGCCAACCACACCAAAAAAAAAAAUGUUAAAACCAAAAAUGUAUGAAUUGAUAUAUUACUUUUUGAAGUAAAUUAGUUUUAAUGUUAAAACUGUUCUUCCUCUUAAAAUAGUUCUUGACAGCAACAGUAACAUGCCUCAUCUUAUGGAGCACAAAUAAAAACUGGAACGUUUUUUAAAAACGUAUAUUUUCUCACACCCAUACACGUGGGCCAGAGUUGUUAAAAACACUCCUAAUGAGUAAUUACUUCUAGACAGACCAGGAGAACAUGGGCAACACAUGAUAUUUUGUUUUUGCACAUACCUGUAAAUUGCACAUUUAUAUAUAUAAAAAAACGUAUAUAAUUUUUUCUGUUAUUUUAUCAUUAGUUUUUCA